UUAAUCAAAAUCUGCAAGUCACCGGGGG
rnacentral:sRNA from 1 species